CAGUGCACUGGGUUAGGUCAAAGGUCGCCAGCUUUGGGCCCUGCAGCCCGAGCCUGUUCCUCGGCAGCUUUGUGUGUUUGCAGUUAAAACCCACCGUGACGGACCUUUCAUACUGCCGCUCAGAGUCAGACGGAUGAUAGAUUGGGACGGCGCUAAGGUGGUGACUGCCAUCUGGGAGCGUGCGAUACAGAGAACCGGCCUGAGUCCAAACCCCAAACCCAGUUCAGACAAUACAAACUAAACCAGGG
rnacentral:lncRNA from 1 species